UAUAUAGUUGUUGUUUCACUCCACAUACCUUAGUUUUGUGCAUCCCGUUGACAUGUCCGUUGAUAUUGUUGAGUGACCCGCUGCUGCUUCCGUUGAUGGGGUUGGUCCACACCUCGGAGGAGGAGCUGGUGAGUGUGACGUCAUCAGACGAGUAGUUAGGGCGCGAGGGGAUGAUCGGAGACCGGCAACAGACCCUGGCAUUGCAAUCACCACUACACCACUACUCCACUACUAAUUGAAAUUCAAUUAUCCAAUUGAGAAGAUCUGAGAGACUGAGUAAUACAGCGAUAAAGAAAUGAAUUCAAACAACUGACAGUUUGUCGGAUCAUAAUAUGAAAUAUUAUUCCAGAAGUCUUGAAAGUUGGGAGAAUGAGCCGAUUCAAUCAGGAUAGUCUCAUCAUUGGAGAGGAGGUUUCUUGGAGUCCAGAACGCUAUAUGGGCUAAGCAGCUGGGAAAAUGGAAUUGGACCACGUUUGGAUCGUUCCGUCCCAUUUCUUUCGGAUUGAGAGGACGCACCCUAAGAACAAAAUGAAUGUCAAAGGAAAUAGUGGGCCACCAUCUCUCUUUGCAAUGAAUGAAAUUACCGAAACGUAUGUCAGAGACUCUGAAUGUCUUGAAGAGGAGACGAAACAAACGGAUUAUACUGAUUCGACUGGAGUAGGAUAGCAGAUCAGAUAGCCUUCUUUCGGUGGCUUAAUGGUGAGUAAAUGGCAAAUAUU